AGCGAACGCUGGCGGCAGGCCUAACACAUGCAAGUCGAACGGAUCCUUCGGGAUUAGUGGCGGACGGGUGAGUAACACGUGGGAACGUGCCCUUUGGUUCGGAACAACUCAGGGAAACUUGAGCUAAUACCGGAUGUGCCCUUCGGGGGAAAGAUUUAUCGCCAUUGGAGCGGCCCGCGUCUGAUUAGCUAGUUGGUGGGGUAAAGGCCCACCAAGGCGACGAUCAGUAGCUGGUCUGAGAGGAUGUUCAGCCACAUUGGGACUGAGACACGGCCCAAACUCCUACGGGAGGCAGCAGUGGGGAAUCUUGCACAAUGGGCGAAAGCCUGACGCAGCCAUGCCGCGUGAAUGAUGAAGGUCUUAGGAUUGUAAAAUUCUUUCACCGGGGACGAUAAUGACGGUACCCGGAGAAGAAGCCCCGGCUAACUUCGUGCCAGCAGCCGCCGUAAAAC
rnacentral:rRNA from 1 species